rnacentral:lncRNA from 1 species
CUUGAGAUUUUAGUAUCUUUGAAAUCUCAUCUUCAACCUGAGCUUUCAGGCACCACAUGGAUUAGAAAAUUGUACAUUGAACAUACGAUUUCCUAUGUGGCAUCUUAUUGGCCAAAAUAAUCAUAGAUCCAUAAAUUAGUUUAAAGUAACCAUACUUUCAAAAAUAAAUAUUAAACAACAUUAUUUCAAAAAAAAAUCCACAGUAGAGGGGUGAGG